GCCCUGUGACACCGAGGCAGAAAUGGGGGCGCAGGACCCCAUGCAUUGCCAGCAGGCCUGACGCACUGGUGGCUCAUUUCGUCCCUUUGCCAAAGUGACAUCACCAGCAGAGACUCAAAGCAGUUGCACCACCUUGUAAAGGCACUUAAUGCCACUGAAUUGUUCCCGUAAAAAUCGUUAAGUUGGCCAAUAUUGUGGUAUAGCUAUUUUACCACAAUAAAAAAUACAGACCUCCGAGUCUGCCUCAUUCCAUCUCUCUGGGUGCCCCUGGCACUAAGCUUCUGUGCUGGGAGCUGGGAUCAAAUGGUCUGAUGUCCCUGCCCUCCAGUUGCUCAGGGAGGGUCCAGUGGGAGACAUGGACACUGACAGUAGGUCCGUGAGGGGCUGCAGGAUGUGGGGGACCCCGCAGACGGGGAGAAAGGGCAUUCCAGGCCAGGCAGGCAGCUCCAGCCAUCCAUCCUCCUCCCCCAGUGGCAGAAAGGAACAAGAAAAUGCAAGGCUCCAGGUUCCCAGAAGGUCCUGGUGGUGGCCAGGGCUGGGCUGAUGCCCAUGCGGCAUCUUGGGUCACGCAACAUGGAGCAAGGAGGGUGGCACACUCCCCUUUCCUAGGUAUUUUCAUACUGACUCACAUAAUUUUCACACAGCAGCCAGCCCACAGUGGGGUUCAUACAUGUCACCCAUCACAGUCUGGGCCCAUUUGUUUCCAAAGCAGCUUCCUUAGCGCUCUCUAGCUUCUGCCUGGCCAUUCCAAUAGCCUCUGGAAACCUCUUUAUCAAUAGGCACAUCCAGCGGCCCUUCCUCGCUCCCCACGGCCGGGCCGAGCCUCCCGCUCCCCUGUGUCGGGUCCAUCCUGGCCUCCAGCGUGUUACGGGCCCUGCGCGCCAUGAGUCUCCUGCCCUGCACUCAGGAGGCCGAGGCCAUGCUGGUGGCUCCCAGACCUGUCUCCAUUCACUGCCUUCACGAGAGGGUCAACAUCCUUGUUCAGAACCAGACCAGCCUGCCCUGUCUCCUCGUGGCCCUUCAUUGGGGCCACCGCUCCUCUCCCUUCUUGGAUCCCAUUCCCUCAGACCCUGCUGUGGGUUGAAUUGCACCCCCAACAAGUCCAAACCCUCCGUGCCUACAAUGGUGACCUCACAUGGACACAGGGUCUCUGCAGAUGCGAUCGAGUCAAGGUAAGGUCACUAGGACGAGCCCUAAGCCCAGCAC
rnacentral:lncRNA from 1 species